UCUCUCCUCGCCUCCACGGCGUUGGCCGGCCACCAUCGCUCCUCGCCGUCUCCGUUCCCACCUGUCGGCUCCAGAGGGAAGGCCGUCCAGCCACAGUUUCUCCUCUGACUUCCCCCCCGGUUCAGACGAGGCAUGAAGGAUCCACCUGACUCUUCCUCUGUGCGAAUGUUUCUCCCGAUAACCUGAGGCUAACAGGAGCCUGGAGUCACUUUUCCUCCUGCCCUCCACCAGCCCAACUCUAAAAGAUUAAUAGCAUGUAGAGGGAGCAGCCGGCCAAAAAUCCAGAGCCGCUUAAAAUUCGUCUCAAAUCUCCGUCUGGACCGUUUCCCUCGUCUGCUCUGGUUUAACCGCCGCCAUCUUUAAUUGCUGCGUCAACAGCUGCGCUUACGGAGGAAAACCAGCGGCGCCCCCUGCUGGACGGCGGCCGAACUACAACACUUGAAAAAGGGGAUUCAUUUUAAUCUAACAAAUCAUCAGA